rnacentral:rRNA from 1 species
CAACUUUCAACAACGGAUCUCUUGGCUCUCGCAUCGAUGAAGAACGCAGCGAAAUGCGAUAAGUAAUGUGAAUUGCAGAAUUCAGUGAAUCAUCGAAUCUUUGAACGCACCUUGCGCCCCUUGGUAUUCCGAGGGGCACGCCUGUUUGAGUGUCGUG